AUUGAACGCUGGCGGCAUGCCUAACACAUGCAAGUCGAACGCCCUCUUCGGAGGGAGUGGCGCACGGGUGAGUAACGCGUGGGAAUCUACCCAUCAGUACGGAAUAACUUUUGGAAACAAAAGCUAAUACCGUAUAUUCUCUUCGGAGGAAAGAUUUAUCGCUGAUGGAUGAGCCCGCGUCUGAUUAGGUAGUUGGUAGGGUAAUGGCCUACCAAGCCAACGAUCAGUAGCUGGUCUGAGAGGAUGAUCAGCCACACUGGAACUGAGACACGGUCCAGACUCCUACGGGAGGCAGCAGUGGGGAAUAUUGGACAAUGGGCGAAAGCCUGAUCCAGCAAUACCGCGUGAAUGAUGAAGGCC
rnacentral:rRNA from 1 species